rnacentral:lncRNA from 1 species
CUUCUUCAUCCACCACAAUCUCCUUCCCCUUGUUGAACUUAUCGUAAAUAUAAUAUGGGAAAUAUUGGCUGGAAUUCUCUUCAUUUGCAACUUCAUGUCUAUUCAAGUCCAGCAUUUCCAUUAGCAGCAUUCCAAAGCUGUAAACAUCAGCUUUGUAAGAGAUUGCUCCAAUGCUUCUGCUGAUCAACUCUGGUGCUACAUAUCCAAUCGUUCCGCGAGCAGCUGUGAGAGUCACAAUGCUAAGAGAUUGCUCCAAUGCUUCUGCUGAUCAACUCUGGUGCUACAUAUCCAAUCGUUCCGCGAGCAGCUGUGAGAGUCACAAUGCUAUUAUCUGUUGGAUAUAACUUUGCAAGCCCAAAGUCAGAAAUCUUUGGAAUGAAAUUCUCAUCCAAAAGAAUGUUGUGUGGCUUGAUAUCAAAAUGCA